AGCAUGGCAACCGCUCCGACGGCAUCGGCGUGAGUAUGAGACUGAGUCCCUCGCUCACAGCGCCCGCUCUUAUAGCCGUACAGCUCAAACACAUACUGUUCAGUAGACAGCAAGGGAAACACUCAGCCACUGGAGCAGAGGAAUGGGGAAAGCCUGGUUAAGAUGCUAAUCAUUUCCAGGGUGGAAUCCACUUUCUGAAAUCAGAAGUUGUUGCUUGAUUUCAUUAUUUCUUUACCUUAAAAUUGAAAAUCCAGGAUAGGACAUCAGCUGAAAGUGUUUUAAAUUGCUAAGCUGCAUGAGCCAAAGUUUGACAGUGUGAAUUAGUCUUUUAAAAACAGAGUCAAGUUGCAGGUUGAUGUGUACAGUACUCUGAAAGAGGACUAAAGUCUUUGGUGGAAUCAACUGGGGUUUGCAAAGCAAAAAGAAGUGAGAUGGAAUUAUAUACAUGAAACCGCUUCCCUCCUCACCUGCUCAUCAUCUGACUCCCCACUUCAACCUGACAUCAUCUCCCCAUCAGAAAAGGAGUGGAGAGGAGAAGAGGAGAGCACAACUGCUCCAGCUCCAGCUCAUCAAGGCUGAGGAGGAGAAACUGACCACAGAGCGAACUUGGUCACUACUGAGAUGCAACUUGGGGAGGAAACGCUCAACUGCCGCGGGGUACGACAUCAGACGAAAGAAGCCUUUGAAUUGGACAGCCUGGAAGACGAGACAGCCCUCUCCCUCGGAUCCCGUGCCUCUCCACUGCCAAAGGAUGAGAGGUGCCGACUUUUCCCUUAGUUGCCAGGGAUAUCUGUGCACUACGGAAAGGCAAACAACCCCUCCAGCAUGUCCAAUGAUAUGUUCCUCCUGAUGCUCUGCAAGACUGGUCUGAGAGGGAAACUGCAGACCUUUCCUGGGAAAAUGGUAAACACUGCCAUCUGUGAUGAAGAAACUGGAAUGCAAGACAAGGAAGGUACAGAGGAGUCCAUUCUGGCCAUGCUCGGGAUCAUCGGCACCAUUCUCAACCUGGUAGUCAUCAUCUUUGUCUACAUCUACACCACUCUGUGACUGUGAUAAAAAAAAAAACAUUCCUAUCGUUUGCAUUGAACAGCACAGCAGACCUACUGGCUGCAGCCAUGUUAUUUGGCUGGGAAUUGGGUCUGUGCCGAGGCGGUGCCGUGUUGUCGAUCGACAUUCCCAACGUUCAAAGGCAUCUAAGACUGUGUGAUUACCGCGACGCAUGUAACCUACGGCAUCGUCAUCGAGCGGUGUUGAGACUAUGUCUAUGGGAGACUGGACCAUUCCUAUGGGGCCUUUGUCCGAGCCGUCAGUAUCAUCCCGAGUCUCUGAUACUACUUUGACCUUUUAACCUGUAAAUAUGCAUGAGGCUAUCGCGAGCCCCUUGGUAAGUCAGCUCUCGAGAUCUAGCUUUCUUACACAGGUGCCAAGACAAGGAGAAAGUUUAAAAAAAGGCCUGAUAAACAUUUUGAUAUUAAAAAGGGAAAAGCAUGAUAAUCAUACCCUCAGAAUGGACAGAUUACAUUGAAACUGUAGACUGGAGAAGAGUCAUGUACAUUAUGAUGAAAUUGAUAGUUGAUAGUUGAUAACUCUAUUUACACGAGUACUAUCAUAUUGUUAAAAAUUAUGUUUACAGAAAAAUACUUUGAACUGAGUGUGUUUAGUGGGUAGGUGGUAGCAAUGUGCAAGUCAACCAGAGUUUAUGAUGGUUCUAUAAUAUUUAUUGUUGUGUUCUGACUUCUAUUUUCAGGUAAAUCUAUUUUGGACCCUGUUACUUUGCAUCAUUAUUUUAUUGUACGUACAGUGAUAGAAAAGGAGGCAACCGGUUUUUGUCUAUCUGCUUUUUGGCACUAGCAAAAUGGGAAAUCUAAGACUUCUUGUUAGUGUUGCUGAGAGAAAUCUUUUCAGGAGUAUCAAGAAUCCAAGUAAAUGAAAUUAUGUUUCGUUUUGUUUUCUGGAGGUGAGUAUUUGGUGAAGUAGGGGGUAGCAUCAAAUAUGAUCACAAACGUGUGAUCUGCAUGCGUCACGAUAUAGUAUUAAAAAGAGCAUUUAAAAUGGUAAUAUGGGAGAAAAUAUUAUUGUUCUAAAUUUUAUCUAAAUGUAUAUAGCAUUUACUGAGCUUUAGAGCUUUGACUGAAUAGAGCCCUUUUUAUGUUGCCCUCUCCUUCAGGACUGUGCCAAGUAAGUAAUCUAACAUAAACUUCUGCAUAUUAACUGCAAUGCCUUGAGAUGAGAUGCAUAGUGAAUUUAAAAGCACAAUUUGGAAAUUACUAUUCACAGUAAGUACGAAUGUAUGGGCAACUGUGUGUAAAGUGUAUACGCUGAAGCCUACAACCUCUUGUGAUUUCAAAAAAAGUGCCUGAGUUCAAGUUCAGUAUCUCAAUCCCAUCGUCAAGAUCUCAAAGCAGAAGAAGAUAAUAUACAUGGGGAUCCAGUGGCAAGACAAACCACACAGAACAAAAUCUGCAAAAGUGCUUGGCUAAUUAACCUGGAUCUAAUGGCUAUCUAAAACAUCUCCAGAACACUGGUAACUCAUUACAGAUGAUCCUAGCUCGUUGUAUUAUGAUAUCCUCCAAUUUUGUCUACUCUUGAUUUCCCUGUAAGGAGCCAUUUGAAAAGGUUCGGAAUUACUCCCAAAGGUGACUGGUUCCUGUUCCUAUUCCUCCAGACAUAGCAGAUAUUUGGAGGAGGUACAGUAGUGUAGUAAGUACAUGGACAGUGUUGAGAAUGUAUUUCAGAUUUGUAAUUGAAUUGUAAGUCCUUGCCUUUCUGUUUCUAUUUAUAUUCUUGUGUAAUUGAAAUGCCUAGUGAAACCAUAUGUUAUUAAAUGCCGUUUCAUAGCAUUGCAUGGGUCUCAGUAACCAUGAGAAUAAUUUUAUUAACCUUUGACUUGAUAUUCUAAAAUCCCAGAUUUAAGCUUUUAUCAGAUAAUUCUAUUUUUAUGUAGUUGUAUGCUUAUCUUUGAAUUCUCAGAGCCAGGUUUCCAGACUCCUGGACUAAAAAGCAUGCUCAAUGAAAAAUGUAGUGCUUCUUAGUCCAGGAUGAGUCUUAGUCUGGGUCUGGGAAACUGGCCCACAAAGCCUACUAUACAUAGUUUGAUGGGUAAUACUGGAAGUAAAAAGAAAAAUACUUAAAUCUUAUCUUCCUAUUCUUUUUCCCAUGUCUAAGAUAGUUUUUAAGCUUGCUGUUUUGUUAAAAAGAAUUCAAUAAAACCCAUAAAAAAUA